rnacentral:tRNA from 1 species
CGGGUUGUAGCCCCAUCUGCUUGCAUGGGGUGCUAGGGGUCGAGUGUUCGAAUCACUCCGUCCCGACCA